GCGCAGCAGGCGCGAAACCUCCGCAAUACACGAAAGUGUGACGGGGCCAUCCCAAGUGCCGUCCGCUGAGGACGGCUUUUCCCCAGUGUACACAGCUGGGGGAAUAAGGAGAGGGCAAGCCUGGUGUCAGCCGCCGCGGUAAUACCAGCUCUCCGAGUGGUGGGGACGCUUAUUGGGCCUAAAGCAUCCGUAGCCGGCUGGGCAAGUCCUCCGUUAAAUCCAACGAUUCAAUCGUUGGGCUGCGGGGGAUACUGUCCAGCUUGGGGGCGGGAGAGGCCGACGGUAUUCCCGGGGUAGGGGUGAAAUCCUAUAAUCCCGGGAGGACCACCAGUGGCGAAGGCUGUCGGCUAGAACGCGCCCGUCGGUGAGGGAUGAAAGCUGGGGGAGCGAACCGGAUUAGAUACCCGGGUAGU
rnacentral:rRNA from 1 species